ensembl:lncRNA
GUGGUGUUGCUGUCUGUUUUUAAACAUUAAACUCAGCCUGCACUUGCUUAUCCGAUAUAUUUGCAAGCACACUGGUGUUUCUCUACUUUCUCCCAGUUAAACGCUGACUGCCUUCAGGCUUUGCUUUACCCACAGAUUUCCUAGUCCGGUAUCCGGCUAACAGAACAAGAUUAUUCUUCAAUGUAUCCACUACUCCAAAUCUGCCUGCAGUUUUUAAUUCAUUCCCACUAUCCCAGCAUGCUUGGCAGCCAUGGUAACCACGGAGCACUCCUGGUUGGACAUGAAAACACUGCUGGGAUACAGCAAGCUCAUGGAAGGUACUCAUCAGACCCUGGGAAUAUGUUGUCCUUCAGCACAGGCAGCCUGCUUUCCUCUGCUUUCAAUUGGCACCAUGAUGGAAGGCAGGAAAAUCUGGAAAUGGAAGAGCCAGCUACUUCUAUAGCUACUAUGAAGUUCUGAUGUUCUUCUGGUGUACAUCCACUGAGUAUUGUUUUUCUUUAGCAUCUUAUUCAUAAGGAUAUGUUCAUCCAUGAAACACUUAGCAGCUCCAUGAGGCCAGAGGAUGCACAAGUGGAGAAUUCAUAGCUUUAGGAAACAAAUAUUUUUCCCUUGUCUAAGCAAAUCUAAUGUCCUGAACACUGCCUCCUUCCAUCAGUAUAGUAUGAAGACAAGUGUCUUGUCUGGUAUCCCACAUAGUAAAGACAGGUUAAAGAGUAAGCCAGACAAGAGCCAUGCACCCCAGUUUUUCCAGUAAGCAUCUCAUAUGUCAUCCAAGGGGAAUCUAGUCUCUCAAGACAGAGACCUUGGAGCUGUGUCCUUGGCCUAGGCUGAAAAACAAAACAUCAAUAACAACAACAACAAAAACAACAACAAUCUAAGAGCUGUAAAUUUUCUGUGCAUCUCAAUAUGUGCUUGACCAACCCGCUGACAGGACUUUCCUAAUUACAUGUACAGCAGGAAAGAAUGUUGCAGAGAGGCAUCUCCUACAUCAUGGCCCCGUAACAAUGGCAUCAGCAGAAAGUCCACACAGUGCACAGCACUUUUCUGUCAAACGGAUCUGAUGAUGGAGCAGGCCCCUCACCAAAGUAACAAAUACUCCUGUUCUGGGCUGAGCUGUUGAUCCUAUCCACUGUACAUACAAAAGCUUAGUAACUUUGCUCAGAGGUAAGAUUGCUGCAGUACCACUUGGACUCUCACCCUGGGACCUUCCCAAAGGAGAAAGAGCAUGCCCAUAGACUCACCCACUAAUGAGAUGUCUAGAACAUAAAAUCAAAUGCAAAGAUUUGUGCACAAGUCAGACGUAUAAAAUUCAGUUCCAAUAAUAUGUUUUCACAUUUCUUCUCACAUAAACUGUUCUCUUGUCUGCUGUACAAUGAAGUUCAUCAGAAAUAACAUGCAAAAAGGAUACGUGUCAAUAAAUUAUGUUUCGUGAUGUUCUGUUGUUAUGAUAACAUUAUCUCAGCGAUAAAUGACCUUUUGUGGGGUUGUGGUGGCCAUGAGAACUGUUUGGCUUGGAUGUAAUUAACAUUUCAACUGGAAAAAAAUCUUUAAGUAUUCAAACCACGUGACGUGCACACUUUGUGCACUGUCUGCUGACACUGAAGCUGUACUAGCUUACCUCUAGCACAGCUUGUGUUGUCUUCAUUCCUUUUCCUUUUUCUCACUUUCCUCCAUCCUCUUCCUCUGAAGGAUAUUUUCAUACUUUUUGAUGAAUUGCUCUUAGUUUCUGCCUGUGAAGGAGAUACAGGCUCUGAAGGCUUGAAGACGGCUAUAUGACAAGGGAAUGUGCUACUACAGGAACUUAUUGCCUCAUGGGAAUAGCUGGGGCAGCUUAGUACUGAAAAUAGAGGAGUCAAGAACACCACAGCCCUCAAGCUAUGAGCGCAGUGGAGUUUCUUUUUUACCACUCUCUAGCCCAGAUCCUGCUCCUCUAAC